rnacentral:rRNA from 1 species
GGAUGAACGCUGGCGGCGUGCCUACUACAUGCAAGUCGAGCGAACAGACGAGGAGCUUGCUCCUCUGACGUUAGCGGCGGACGGGUGAGUAACACGUGGAUAACCUACCUAUAAGACUGGGAUAACUUCGGGAAACCGGAGCUAAUACCGGAUAAUAUAUUGAACCGCAUGGUUCAAUAGUGAAAGACGGUUUUGCUGUCACUUAUAGAUGGAUCCGCGCCGCAUUAGCUAGUUGGUAAGGUAACGGCUUACCAAGGCGACGAUGCGUAGCCGACCUGAGAGGGUGAUCGGCCACACUGGAACUGAGACACGGUCCAGACUCCUACGGGAGGCAGCAGUAGGGAAUCUUCCGCAAUGGGCGAAAGCCUGACGGAGCAACGCCGCGUGAGUGAUGAAGGUCUUCGGAUCGUAAAACUCUGUUAUUAGGGAAGAACAAAUGUGUAAGUAACUAUGCACGUCUUGACGGUACCUAAUCAGAAAGCCACGGCUAACUACGUG